rnacentral:rRNA from 1 species
GUCGAGCGGACAGAUGGGAGCUUGCUCCCUGAUGUUAGCGGCGGACGGGUGAGUAACACGUGGGUAACCUGCCUGUAAGACUGGGAUAACUCCGGGAAACCGGGGCUAAUACCGGAUGGUUGUUUGAACCGCAUGGUUCAAACAUAAAAGGUGGCUUCGGCUACCACUUACAGAUGGACCCGCGGCGCAUUAGCUAGUUGGUGAGGUAACGGCUCACCAAGGCAACGAUGCGUAGCCGACCUGAGAGGGUGAUCGGCCACACUGGGACUGAGACACGGCCCAGACUCCUACGGGAGGCAGCAGUAGGGAAUCUUCCGCAAUGGACGAAAGUCUGACGGAGCAACGCCGCGUGAGUGAUGAAGGUUUUCGGAUCGUAAAGCUCUGUUGUUAGGGAAGAACAAGUACCGUUCGAAUAGGGCGGUACCUUGACGGUACCUAACCAGAAAGCCACGGCUAACUACGUGCCAGCAGCCGCGGUAAUACGUAGGUGGCAAGCGUUGUCCGGAAUUAUUGGGCGUAAAGGGCUCGCAGGCGGUUUCUUAAGUCUGAUGUGAAAGCCCCCGGCUCAACCGGGGAGGGUCAUUGGAAACUGGGGAACUUGAGUGCAGAAGAGGAGAGUGGAAUUCCACGUGUAGCGGUGAAAUGCGUAGAGAUGUGGAGGAACACCAGUGGCGAAGGCGACUCUCUGGUCUGUAACUGACGCUGAGGAGCGAAAGCGUGGGGAGCGAACAGGAUUAGAUACCCUGGUAGUCCACGCCGUAAACGAUGAGUGCUAAGUGUUAGGGGGUUUCCGCCCCUUAGUGCUGCAGCUAACGCAUUAAGCACUCCGCCUGGGGAGUACGGUCGCAAGACUGAAACUCAAAGGAAUUGACGGGGGCCCGCACAAGCGGUGGAGCAUGUGGUUUAAUUCGAAGCAACGCGAAGAACCUUACCAGGUCUUGACAUCCUCUGACAAUCCUAGAAAAUAGGACGUCCCCUUCGGGGGCAAAAUGACAAGUGGUGCAUGGUUGUCGUCAGCUCCUGUCCUGGAGAUGUUGGGUUAAGUCCCGCAACGAGCGCAACCCUUGAUCUUAGUUGCCAGCAUUCAGUUGGGCACUCUAAGGUGACUGCCGGUGACAACCCGAAGGAAGGUGGGGAUGACGUCAAAUCAUCAUGCCCCUUAUGACCUGGGCUACCACCUGGUUCAAUGGACAGAACAAAGGGACCGAAACCCCGAGGUAAACCAACCCCCAAAACUUGUUCCAUUUCGGAACGAGUUCCGCACCCCACUCGGGGAA